GAGACUACACCAAGGAGAUGGCAGCCAUCUGUAAACCAGGAAGAGGACUCACCAGGAACCUGACCAUGCUGGCACCCUGAUCUUGGAAUUCCAGCCUCCAGAACUAGCUGCCUCUCGUGAUAAAAGCUGAAAGUACCAGAUUCUUGCUUUCCCAGGUUCACUUGAAGCUAAAGACGGCCACAAGAGCCAGUUCUGGCCAAUGAGAGGAAGAAAUCCAGGACUGUAGCUGGUGCUAUGAUGGGUGUAUUCUGCGUGUUCAAAAGGUCAUCUGGCAUGGAGACAGGCUAAAUUAUUGCUGGAGUGUAUGAAUCUGAGGAGGUUCUCCAUUAACAUUUAUUAGGAAUUGUCAUCGCUUCAACCCGAAUGGGCCCCAGAUGUGGAAACCCCGGCUGCCCCAGACUUCUCUUCCGGGCUGCAAUCUCUCCUCUGAUUUAUUGUUAUUAAACAUGACCAGAUUUUGUAGAGGGGAAAAUUGAAGAAAGCAACACACACAUGGGGAACUGUUGGGUGCAGGCUGCCAAGAGAAACAAGCCAUUUUAUUCUAUCUGGUGACAGUGGGAGCACAUGGAGACACAAACCAUUGUGCCUCUUUCCUAAAUCAAAAACACACAGGCCUGAACCUCUAGGCAUCUGUUCACAGGGCAAAUGUCUUCACCCUGAGGGUAAGCAAGGGUCAGUUGAAGGUAAUGAGAAAGGCUAAAAAUAGUCUGCGCUUAGAAUUCUAGAAGCCACGGCAGGGACCCUCUCUUCCUCAAAAUAUAUUACCUUCCAGGGCAGACUACUUCUUGGGAGUAAGACACACCCUCUGGAUAUUAGGUCAUUUUUCUUAUCAGUAAUAGUUACUCUUCCACUGCGUAAUGAUUGUGAAAGAUCCCAAGAAGUCAAAGUUAGAGCCCCACCUUCAGGUCUCUUAUAAUCUAUUUCAUUUAUUCACUCAUUCAACAUAAUUUUAUUAAGCACAUAUGAUGUAUCAGGCACUGUCACAGGUGUUGAGGAAAUAUUAGUAAACCAGAGAGAUGAAGUCCAGGCUGUCAGGGCACCGACAUAUAUGUAAGGGAACAAAGUCAGAAGCUAUGAUAACAGUAGCUAAUAGGCAAAGAAGUGUGUGAAAAGGAAGGCAGCAGAAAGAAAAGAUACUGUAUUAGGAAUUAGGAAACCUGAAUCCCAGUCCU